CCCUUAGAUGUUCUGGGCUGCACGCGCGCUACACUGGUGCGCUCAACGAGUUUACGACCUUGCCCGGAAGGGUUGGGUAAUCUUUUUAAAACGCAUCGUGAUGGGGAUAGAUUAUUGCAAUUAUUAAUCUUUAACGAGGAAUUCCUAGUAAGCGCGAGUCAUCAGCUCGUGCUGAUUACGUCCCUGCCCUUUGUACACACCGCCCGUCGCUCCUACCGAUUGAAUGCUCAGGUGAGCCAUUCGGACUUUCAUCAUGCUGGUUUCCAGUUUUGAUGAAGGAAAGUCUUGCGAACCUUAUCAUUUAGAGGAAGGAGAAGUCGUAACA
rnacentral:rRNA from 1 species